rnacentral:rRNA from 1 species
UACAGAGGUCUCAAGCGUUGUUCGGAUUCAUUGGGCGUAAAGGGCGCGUAGGCGGGAUGGCAAGUCGGUCGUGAAAUCCUUCGGCUCAACCGAAGAACGUCGAUCGAUACUGCUGUUCUUGAGGGUUGCAGAGGAGACUGGAAUUCCCGGUGUAGCGGUGAAAUGUGUAGAGAUCGGGAGGAACACCGGUGGCGAAGGCGGGUCUCUGGGCCUUACCUGACGCUGAGGAGCGAAAGCGUGGGGAGCGAACAGG